rnacentral:lncRNA from 1 species
UCAGGGACUGCACAGGUCAUUGUUGUGCAGCUGUGUCAAGGGCUGAGUCAGGUGCUGGGGUGCCCUGGGCAGGAGGCCGGCAUCAGGAUGGGGAGAUGGGCUGGAAAACAAGGCAGCAAAGAAGUCCCACCCGUCUACUAACUCCAAGCUGUAGGAUGUGUCCCAACCCCUCAGUCCUGGCUGUGCAUCUCCAGGCCCCAUUGAGGACAGAGCUCAAGUCCCCUCAACAGUCUACAAGCCACUGCACCUCACUGUUCCCAUGGAGACAGAGAUACCAAGGUCCAGAGCCAAACCA